rnacentral:rRNA from 1 species
UACGUAGGGUGCGAGCGUUGUCCGGAAUUAUUGGGCGUAAAGGGCUCGUAGGCGGUUUGUCGCGUCGGGUGUGAAAACCAUGGGCUUAACUCAUGGCUUGCUUCCGAUACGGGCAGACUAGAGGUAUGCAGGGGAGAACGGAAUUCCUGGUGUAGCGGUGAAAUGCGCAGAUAUCAGGAGGAACACCGGUGGCGAAGGCGGUUCUCUGGGCAUUACCUGACGCUGAGGCACGAAGGUCAGGGGAGCAAACGGG